GAUGAACGCUGGCGGCGUGCCUAAUACAUGCAAGUCGAGCGAACAGAUGAGGAGCUUGCUCCUCUGACGUUAGCGGCGGACGGGUGAGUAACACGUGGAUAACCUACCUAUAAGACUGGGAUAACUUCGGGAAACCGGAGCUAAUACCGGAUAAUUUAUUGAACCGCAUGGUUCAAUAGUGAAAGACGGUUUUGCUGUCACUUAUAGAUGGAUCCGCGCCGCAUUAGCUAGUUGGUAAGGUAACGGCUUACCAAGGCGACGAUGCGUAGCCGACCUGAGAGGGUGAUCGGCCACACUGGAACUGAGACACGGUCCAGACUCCUACGGGAGGCAGCAGUAGGGAAUCUUCCGCAAUGGGCGAAAGCCUGACGGAGCAACGCCGCGUGAGUGAUGAAGGUCUUCGGAUCGUAAAACUCUGUUAUUAGGGAAGAACAAAUGUGUAAGUAACUAUGCACGUCUUGACGGUACCUAAUCAGAAAGCCACGGCUAACUACGUG
rnacentral:rRNA from 1 species